ensembl:lncRNA
GUAGACACAUGUAUCCAGUAGCUUCAGGACUGGGCUUACUGAUUUAAACAAUUAAGAAUUUGCUGAUUUAACCCUCCUAUUAUGUUAUGGGUCAAUUCGACCCACUUCCACAUUUGAGAUAUGUCUUUCUUUUUUAAAUUUUUUGACUUUGAAUUUAUAUGCAACUAUUUAUUCUUAUGGCUCGUCUCAGACGGACCAUAAUAAAGGAUUACUGUUUUAAGAUGUUAUUUGCUGUUUUUGUGUGUAUUUAAACUGUGGAAGUAAUUUUCACCCAUAACAUAAUGGAUGUAACUUUUUUCCCCCCAACAUAGGAGGGUUAACAAUUACUUUUUUCCCAUUUAAUGACCUCUGAGGCAGUGGGGGUGUGGUUGAGCAUCAGUUUCAGACGCAGAGGCUGAAACAUAACAUGCUGUGACUCUCAGCUGUGUGUUAAUACCACCAGUCUACUUGUGUGCUUUUUGUUUUUGUUUUUGUUUUUUCAGUAAAUAUCUUGAACCAGAGAGAAAGAGACACAGCUGCUGAAGUUCACACACAAACACACACGCCAAGUUCUUUCGUUGUGGUUCACAGCAUUCGCUGAAAGGACAAACAAAGCAAACACAAGUAAUCUGGUUGUAAUAACACAUGGCUGAGAAUUGUCACAUUACCUGCCAGUUCAACCCACCACCUCUGUGUUCGCAGUCGAAGCUCAAACAUAAUGGACAGAUUAAUUUUUCUUGUUUUUGUGAACAUGUUUUUCCUGCACUGUUUUUCUUCUCAUUUCUUCUUGUAUAGGUGAGCUCCUGGAGCAAGUCAGCAUUAUUCAGUCUUAUGAUUUGCUGGUAGGAAACUCCAGGUUACCUGGCUCAGACCAUUGGAGGAUCACUUUCAAUGUAUACCAGCCUGACACAGAGUUUAAGAAGAGUUAUCCAGGAAAGCCCUAUACCCACUUGUGUGUUUGCAGUUUCGAUGGUCCGGUGCCAGACUUGCAUGCUUUGAAGGAGCUGUCCUUCCAAAGUGGAGAUGUUUCCGUGACAUUCGCAGUGGUGGACCAUGGGGACAUUUCCUUCUACUGCUUCAAGGAGUUUAAGCUGCCCACUGAUGUCUACUGACAGGACUUAAGAUACUGUUUCCAUGUCAAUGGAUAACAUCACAAAACCAACUGUAACCAUCAAAAUCGUCGUAUCUAUUAGGGUAUUAGGGCAUUUUCAUAUAAUUAAAUUUUAUGGUGAAUCUAAAUGCUUACUCAUGGGGUGGUAACAUAAAACACAUUGCAGAUGUGUAUCGGCAUGUCAAAUAAUACAUUUUGCACAGUAACUGAUCUUAUUACAUUGUUCAAAAAAGUAAUUGUUACCUUUACUCCAUAUUUAGAAAAGAAAGGUAGAUCUGUUGUGUUUUAUUUAUUUAUUUGUUUAGAAGUUUUUUUAAAUUUUAAUCAUUUUCAGUGCAAAAGUCACACACUGCAGUACUGGCACUUCUACAUUUUACUCUUUGGUGUACCUUGAAUUUUAAUUGCUUACCAGCACUUCUCUCAAGCUGCCGGUACUCUUUUCUGCCUUCUCCAUAUCAGGUUCUGAGUGAUUCAUAAUUACCCUACAUAAACUACAUUACCCAGAGGGCACUAUGUGAUGCUCACCUGUUCCUGUUCUCUCAAAACGUCUCAAGAUAUAUAACGUUCAUGCUAGUCUAUCAUUAUGUACCGCAACAUUAAUGCUAGUCUAAGUAAUUUAACGUUAAUACCAUAAUAUAGAGGGUUGCACCCACUGCGUGGCAGAAAGAUUGAUUAGCAGCAUUAGUGUUCAGCUUGAAUGCUACAGAAAAACAAAAAACGCAUCUAAAAUGGGAAACAGCUGUUGAGCGACUGACUGUACCAAUAGAUUAAACAAGAAAUCUGAGCUAUCUGUUUCCCAGACUGCCGAAAGCUACAGAAAAGAGAAGCAAAUGGCUCGCUGCAAGGGAGAUGAUUAGACAGUGUAAGCUAGCCGAGACAGACCCAGUUUUCUUUGCAAGCGGGUAUUCCACAAAGCAAGCUUAGAUAGAUAGAUAGAUAGGUAGAUAUAGAUAGAUAGAUAGGCUGCUGUUUAAAAUUCCGACUGAUACAGGCAAAAAGGAGUUCUUAAACAGGUUUAAUUUAUGCUGGUGAACUCUAUAUCCUCUGCCUGACGGUAACAGCUGGCCAGCAAACACAGAACAUUACCCUAACAUUAGCAUAUGGUUCCCGGUUGGUUAUUUUUUGGGAACCAUAUUAUAAUGUUCGAGGAAUGUUCUCUGUAGGAUCUUUUUUUUUUUUGUAACAAAAAACUAACCUUCCCAAAACGUUACAUGAAGGUUUUUUAGUAACAACCUGCAGAGAACCUAUGCAGAACGUCCUCUAAUCGUUAUUUUUAGGUCAAUUGAGAGAAUUGACAUUUCCUUCAGGCACUGGCAAUUCUGAGGGUGGGGCUAUAUAGGUACGGCCUGGCCCCAGCUGAAAUCUGAUUGGCUCCUGAAGUGCCCCUGUCCUGUCAAUCAUCUCUGAUCUACAUCAGAGCACUCAAUCAGCCGAGUAGUGUUCGGAUCAUUUUACUGACUGUUCAGUAAAAUGAACUAAUCCUUUUUCGAGUCAUUUCGUUCAUUUCAGCAGAAUAUAUUUAAAAUGUUACAUGUAAAUUCCCCAACACAUCUAGUACUUACGCAAACAUUGAGCACAUUUGGAAUAAAAAAUAAAUUCUAGGCUAAUGCAGCCAAGGCCAAAUUAUGAGAAACAGAAAUGAUUCAUUAAUAGUUUAGCAUUAGGUGUUCAGGCUAUGCAAUCUUUUGGUUCACCUCCUGAUCCGAGUCGUUCUUUUGUCACAUCACAUUUGUCGCAUCUGUUCCCGGAAACGGAAAUGAUUAGUCCGUGUCUCAAGUCUUCGGGUCCAAGUCAUUCAUUCAUCCCAUGACCACCCCAUAGGCCAUGCACCAUGCAGUACCAGAAACAGAAAUGAUUAGUUCACCUCUCGAGUCUUCGGGUUCAAGUCGUUCGUUCAUCACGUGACAGCCCCACUGCAUUCAGCCUAUGGUGCUGUUGUCGUGAUGAACGAACGUCUCGACCCGAAAUUCAGCUCACUUAACCGUUUCUUUCUACCACAUCUCGUAAUGGACAUCUCAUCUAUAGACAGUGCGUUUUUAUCAUCCUCGUUCACUUAAGCUUCGAUGGUAAGUACAUAUUCAACACUUUAACUAACGUUUCAAAGGACAUUAGUGUUGCUGUCAUUAUACUUCUCUUUUGUCUAACAUUAAGAAACUAGUUAACUACAGUACAACACAGUAUGAGAGCACACUCCCAGGCAAGACUUCUGCAUGAAGGAAAAAGUUGGAUAUGUCACUUGUAUUUUUGUUAUGCUGUUGUGUUUUUGUGUACUUUUUUGUAACAAACAACAUUAUAACAACUUGUAAUAUUGAACAAAUGAGAGACUGAAACAACAAGAUGCAUUGCAAAACAAUCAAAAUGCCCAUCCCUAAUAGUAUCACACAGAUAUUGCAUUAUUACUGUAAAAUACAGAUAUUAUAUUAUUAAAAUAUUAUACAUUCUUAUUAUAUAUUGUAAAGUUAAUAGUUUGACAAGUGCUUGUCCCUUUUGGGUAAAUAAAUUUAUGUUGUGAACAUCAGUGAUAUCUCCUAGUAUCUUUUAUUCACUGUAGAAAUUCAGAAUGUAGCACUUAAUGAUUAGCCAAUAAUGGCCAGAACACACGCAAACAUGAAUAAGGGGAGUACUGGCACUGUUUUUCCCCCACUUCAAGCACUAGUCAUACUGCCAUGAGUCUUUCUGACUAUGCAAUAACCAAUGUAGCUGAUACUUGAAAGUUUACUGUUCAGGACUCAUUAUUAAUAGCUAUAAUUAGCACCAAGAUACACCCCUUACAAAAAAGAAUCCUACAGGAAUCUUGCAGGAUUAAAGUUUUUCUGCAGGAUGUUUGCUGGUAUCCCACAGGAAUGGUGAAAUCCUGUAGGACACAUUGACAAACUGUGCAGGAUAUUCCUAUAGGGUUUAGAAGGGAGCCUUCUCUACAAUAGAAACAUACAAGAAUGUCCAGCACACUUCCUGCAUAAGGGAAAAAUCCUGCAGGAUUGUAUAAUUCCUGCUGAACACGUACUGCAGUGAUAAAAUAAAGUUCCCAAGUACUUAAUCUAUCCUGCUAGAGAACUUCUUAUUUCCUGUAAAUGAAAAAAAAAAAUCUGCAGGUUAUGUAGUUAACAAAAUUCAUUUUUAAAAUGUAGAUCUUAUCUGAGUGGGGGAAAACAUGCUGCAUAAAUAUUCUUUCUGAUGUCUUUUAGUAGAUAAUGUAGGCAUGCUCAUUUUAGAAUAAUAAGACAUUUUAGUCAUAAAUGACGAUGUUUUAAUGAAUUGGUUGCAUAAAUUAAUGAGUCAUUCAAUGAGUCAAUUUACAGAAAGGGCAGGUAAAUUAAUCUUUUUGAGAAAAGAUUCAAUUCACUAAGAUGACACACAUUCAACCGUCACCAACCGUCAUGUGGCUGUAGCAGUAUAGUCCCACUUGUAUUAAAUAAUUUCUUUAAUCGUUAUGGUAUACUAAAUUACUGUUAUGUUAGCUCGCUUACUAGUAAACACGGCUAAUUUUAUUAUCUAGACACAGCGGUUAACAUAAUGUUAGUUCGCUUACUAUUAAACAUGACUAAUUGUAAUCUACACACAGCGGUUAGCGUAAUGUUAGCUUGCUUACACGGCUAAUAUUUUUUAUUUACAAUUGUUUUUUUUUUAUUAUUCUGUAUUUUUUAAAGGUGUGAAAUGCAAUCUGUAAAGUUUCCAAGCCGUUGCAAAAGUCAUUAUGUGACAUAAUUUCAGUAAAUCAAAUAAUUCAUUCAUAAAAAUACUUUGCUUUUGUUGUGAAGUUAUUUAUGUUCCUGUAGUCACAAUGUCCUGCACAAUAGUCCUGCAGGAAGUGUGUGUGUGUGUGUGUGUGUGUGUGUGUGUGUGUGUGUGUGUGUGUGUGUGU